rnacentral:rRNA from 1 species
UACUUAAAAAAUAGCGUUAAUGCAUCAGAUUCCAUAAUAAAUCCAUAUUUAAGCAUGUUCAGGCUAGAGUAAUAUUGGGAUGGGUGAUCGCCUGAGAAUUCCUAGUGUUUUACAUGC